UAAGACGAACCGUCCUAACGUUGUUCGGAAUCACUGGGCUUAAAGGGCGCGUAGGCGGGUGAUCAAGUCAGGGGUGAAAUCUUUCGGCUUAACCGGAAAACAGCCCCUGAUACUGGUUGUCUUGAGGGAGGUAGGGGUAUGUGGAACUUCUGGUGGAGCGGUGAAAUGCGUUGAUAUCAGAAGGAACGCCGGUGGCGAAAGCGACGUACUGGACCUCUUCUGACGCUGAGGCGCGAAAGCUAGGGUAGCGAACGGGAUUAGAUACCCCGGUAGUCCUAGCCCUAAACGAUGGGUACUAGGUUGUAGACUUCCAUGGGUUUACAGCCGAAGCAAAAGUGGUAAGUACCCCGCCUGGGGAGUAUGGUCGCAAGGCUG
rnacentral:rRNA from 1 species